GACGAACGCUGGCGGCGUGCUUAACACAUGCAAGUCGAACGGAAAGGCCCUGCUUGCAGGGUACUCGAGUGGCGAACGGGUGAGUAACACGUGGGUGAUCUGCCCUGCACUUCGGGCUAAGCCUGGGCAACUGGGUCUAAUACCGGAUAGGAGCCAUUUUUAGUGUGAUGGUUGGAAAGUUUUUUCGGUGUAGGAUGAGCUCGCGGCCUAUCAGCUUGUUGGUGGGGUAAUGGCCUACCAAGGCGGCGACGGGUAGCCGGCCUGAGAGGGUGGACGGCCACAUUGGGGCUGAGAUACGGCCCAGACUCCUACGGGAGGCAGCAGUGGGGAAUAUUGCACAAUGGGCGCAAGCCUGAUGCAGCGACGCCGCGUGGGGGAUGACGGCCUUCGGGUUGUAAACUCCUUUCGCUAGGGACGAAGCUUUUUGUGACGGUACCUAGAUAAGAAGCACCGGCUAACUACGUG
rnacentral:rRNA from 1 species